AGGUUUAGUUGUUUUGUCUCCUCUUCCAGACUUCUCCAUCCUUAUUCCUCAACUUUGGACAACAUCUCCUCCGCUCCAUCUCCUAGCUAUCUUUUUCUCUCUAUUUUUUCUCCGACUUCUUUUUUAUUUGUUAAUAUCGAUUUGUUGCCGUUUAUAAAUGAUUCUCAUUGUUUUUUUUUUUUGCAGUUUUCUAUGAAGGUUUAGUUGAACAUGGGGAAAUCAAGAGUUGCUGCUCACAGAAAAACUGAUGCGAAGCUGGUUCAUAAGUUUCUCUGUCUUGAUUAUACUUAUCAUCAAUGUUGAAGAGUAAACGUGGAGAUGCGAGCAAGGAGGUUGUGAAGGAUCCGAACAAGCUUAAGAGGCAUGCAAGUGCCUUAUUCGUUGUCAUAUACGUUUCGUUUUUCCAAUGAUUUACUUUUUAAUUUUAUCUAGAGAGGAUGUUUUUGGCUAAAAAUUUUUAAGAUUUAUUUUCCACUUUGUUUCGAUUUUUGGACCUCUUGGUGUUUCAAAGACACAAACCAACACACAACCCACAUAUUAAUAACAUUAUCACUCCUACCUGUUAAUUUUAUUAUUUUUUUCAGAUAAAAUUUGAGGCCAAAGUUGUUCGCUUUUUUAGUUUCUGCUGCUGCUCGGCUGCCUUCAGACUAUGUAAUGAACUCUUCUUCCCCAAAUAUCUCUUCUUCUGAUUGUAUAAUCUUCAUGGUCUGUUUGGGCUGUUCGGAUUUCAAUUGGAUUCUCUCUGUUGGUUCUAUUUGAAUUUGGAAAAAUACAUAUGUUGCUUUUAUAGUUUGAUUAACAAUUCUAUUAGAAUUGGCUAAUUCUUUUACUAAGCAUUCGUUUGUACUCAUAUUUCUAACGUUGGAGGUUUAUUCUAAUUUAAGAUGGAAAUUGAUGUUAUGAAGAGUUUAAAAUGUCAGGUCGAAACACUGUCGUUCUGCAUGCAACUGAGCUUCUCAAUUUCUUAAUUUCUAAACAUUUGAGAUCUUCUUUGGUUCCUAUGCUAGCUUUGUGUGUCUCCAUCUCCAAAUAAUUUAGUUGAAAAUCACUAAUACGCAUGCAAAUUUGAAAGGGUUUUGAUCUUUCGAUGAGUUUAAAAUGUUUAUUGGUGGUUGGAUGUAUUGCUGUCAAAUAUUUGUUGGAUAGUUUGGAACGGAGAAGUUGGUUGAUUUAGAGAAACUGAAUACACAAGGAAUUUGGAAGAGUUUUUGGUCUUAUAUUGGUUUAAACUACUUUUUUGACAAUCAAGAGUACUGGAGGGAACUUUUGGUGUUCCAUUGAACAAUUUUUGUCAUAUUUUAUCAAUGUAAAUGACACAAUAUUUCUUAACGUUUUUUGCAUGUAAAUAGCCCAAAGUUCCAUAACCUUUUGUAUGUAAGUACUGCUGUUGAUCGAAAAUCACAAAAACUACCCAA